CAUUCAUAUUCAAUAAUUGUGACUAAAAUAAUUGAAGUUGUUGUUUAUUGGUUUGAUUAUAUUAUCCUCGAGUAAUAAUUUGACAUGAUAUGUCAUGAAUACCAGAGUUGGUGAAAAUUGGAAUGAAAUAUACUUACCGGUAAUGUCAAUAAAAAUACAAGCUUUAUAAUAAUAAUUUACUGACAAUAUUUCUACAUAAUUAUGUCUUCUAUUAGAUGUGUUUGAGGUGUACAAAACUAGUGCAUUUGACACCUUAUCAAGUACAUAGGACAGAAUCCUGUAAUUUAGGCCAAUGAUAGUAAGUGUGCAAGUUACUGAAUAUUGGACUGAUACGGAUUAUAUGUGGCGUCAUUUUUAUGUCAUUUUUACUAUAUUACGUCGCAUUAAAAAGUUUGUUAAAUUUGAUAUUUUAUACAGUUAAAUGAUUUGAAUUAUUACGUUUUCUUUAGUGAGUUUUGGUUUAUAGGAAACAACUCAUAAAAUGGCAGUGACAUGCCUUCAGUGUUUAUAAGCACUCCUAUACUUACAUUUGCACUUGGGUUGCUUCCUUGUGCAAUGUAGAUUUAGUUGAGAAAAUAACCACUUUAGGCAUGCUAUUGCUGUUUAAUAAGUGUAUUGUAAAGUGUGUUUGAAAAUGCAUAAUGUUGAUUUAUAAAGAGUAUAUGAUAUUAUGUUCCUUGAAUAUGUGUUGAAUAGUAAUUUGAUUCUAAAUGGAUUAUAUUUUGUACAGGGUAACUUUGAGAGCUGCUGUAUUCAGGUCUGUUUUCAUUCUGUACAACAGAGAUGGGCCAAACAUUCAUAUGUCAAAUAUUAAUAAUGCUCAGAAUUUUACCUCGUCAAGUUAGAACAUAACACAGCAUUAGAUUUUGUAGAAGAGCAUCAAUCAAAGUGGUGAUUUACAUUGUUACAUUGUGAUAUGUUAAUGUCUCUUAUAACCUCACCUGAACCAAAGUUUCACAGGUGAAAUAUUGUAACUGUGCUGUGUUAACACCAUGGCUUGAACUAUUUAAGUUGUCAUCGUAAUUCAUGCUAAUGUAUUUCUUUAGUUCUGGAGUACCUUGAUUUACUAUUUUGUAGGUAGUGACUAAUCCAUAAAACACUACAUUAUAGUUUUCUAGCACCAAGCAAUUAAUUAUGUCUCCCACCACACAGUGGUGUGGGAGACAUAUUGAUUUACUCCAGUUUGUGUGUGUGUGUCUGUCUAUCACAAAGCUUGUCAGCACUCUAAGUCAAACAUUUCUCAUCCGAUUUUCACCAAACUUAAACAAAAUGUGUUUGACCAUAAGACCUCGGCCAAGUUCGAUAACAAGCCAAAUCGGUCCAGGCGUAUUGGAGUGAUGGCCCUUGAAUUACCAAAAAUAGGCCAUUUUACUCUUGUCCGCACUCUAAGUCGAACAUUUCUCAUUCGAUCUUCACCAAACUUGAAUAAAAUGUGUUUGACUAUAAGACCUCAGCCAAGUUUGAUAACUAGCCAAAUCGGUCCAGGCAUUUUGGAGUUACGGCCCUUGAAUUACCGAAAAAUCCGUCUUUUUACUCUUGUCCGCACUCUUUAAGUCAAACAUUUCUCAUCCGAUCUUCAUCAAACUUUAACAAAAUGUGUUUGGCCAUAAGACCUUAGCCAAGUUUGAUAACUAGCCAAAUCCACCCAGGCACUUUUGAUUUAUGGCCCUGGAAUUACUGAUUGGAUCCACUUGUCCAGACCAUCUAAUUGGAUCCACUCAUCUAAACCAUCUAGAGAAACUAGACAUUUUUCAUAGUGGCAGUUGUGGGAGACAUGCGCUUUUCUCAAAAGCAUCUCUAGUGUAAUUAGCAAUUUAUUGUGUUAUAUUUUUCUAGCAAUUUCACAAUUAUUUUUAGUUAAUAAUUUUUAGUGUUGGAAAUCUUCAAAAAAGUUCCACAACAAAAUCUGGUCAUUGAUUAGUAUGAUGAAAUUCAGCUAUCUGUUAUAGCCAAACUUAGACCAAAAAAGCUAAAAACUUACUACUGUUUCGCUAAUUUUGAACAAUUAUGAUAACCAGAAAUAUACAAUUUUGCACAAUUCUCUUUAAAGUAAGAAAUUAUUUUACUUGCAUCUUAAUAGCCAAGAUCGUAAAUUUUCCAGACGGAACAGUUAAUACUAGAUUUAGCUAAAUUUUCAUACACAGUUUUGAGUCAGGUUUUUUUGUUUGUUCAUUUGAAUUUGAUAUCAAGGAUUGUCGCAGUCAUGGAAUAUUGGAAAUUAGCUGUUGAUAUAAUAGGGUUAUUAUAACAGUAGCUCGAUCUUGGAUACAGUAUUCGGCUCAAGUGGAUUUUGCAAGAUCGGAUCUCACGAGGCGCGCAAGCGCCGAGUGUGAUCCGACCUUGCAAAAUCCACGAGAGCGGAAUACAAAGUCCCAGAUCUAGCUAGUGUUAUAAUAACCCUUUUAUUAUAUACCUUUACCUUUUUGUUUGUUGUUUUGUUCUUGAACGAAAUCUUCAAUGUUUAUCGAUAUUAAAUGAAACUUAGUGAAAUUUUUGUGUGCGCUUUUUAUAGUAAUGCGUCGGGUCAUGCAUAUUAAUGAAAAUAGACCGGCAGCAUACAAUACAGAAGGUACAAUACGGAAUUUAAAAGGUACAAUACGGAAUUUUUGUCUGACUGUUCAUAUUUAAUUGUGAAAUACAAGCCGAUUAUUUACAGAAUUUAUAUAGGUAUAUAAUAAAAAUAUAUAACAGAUAUAAAUGAUUCCACAGUCAAUAGGCUGAUUAAUUCUGUACAAUGCUCAAUUGAAAAUACAGCAGUAUUCAGUAGUUACUAAGAAUCACAUAGUUUUUAGAUGCAUAAAUUCAACAUUCGGCAACUUUUGCAAAAUACAAAAUUUAAGAGGUGUCAUCAGUAAAUUGUGUGUCUCUUAAAGCAAGGGCAUAGACACAAGUAUUUUUGAGAAAUGUAUAGUUAUACUUUGUGAAAUUUGUUGCACUAUUUGUUGAACGUUCUGUAUUUUUAGCCCAAGAAUAGUCUAGCUAUUCUACUCACCCUGGCGUCUGUGUCGGCGUCGGUAUCACAGCUUGGUUAAAGUUCUGCAUGCAAGUACAUAUGGCUAUCAUUUAAAGGCAUAUAGCUUUGAAACUUAUUUUUUCUUUUUCUAGGUCAAUUACCAACCUCACUGGGUCAAGUCCCAUAACUCUGAUCUAUAUUUUGGGCAAAUUAUGCCCCCUUGUGGACUUAGAAAAUCCUGGUUAAAGUUUUACAUGCAAGUUACUAUCUCCAGAACUAAUGCAGAUAUUGAAUUGAAACUUCACGUGUCUUCGGGGUUAUAAAACUAGUUGAUAGCAUCAAGUCCCAUAACUCUGACCUGAAUUUUGGCCAAAUUAUGCCCCCUUUUGGACUUAGAAAAUCCUGGUUAAAGUUUUGCAUGCAAGUACAUACAGCUACUACUUAAAGGCAUAUAGAUUUGAAACUUAUUUUUUCUUUUUCUAGAUCAGUUACCAACCUCACUGGGUCAAGUCCCAUAACUCUGACCUGCAUUUUGGCCAAAUUAUGCCCCCUUUUGGACUUAGAAAAUCCUGGUUAAAGUUUUGCAUGCAAGUACAUACAGCUAUUACUUAAAGGCAUAUAGAUUUUAAACUUAUUUUUUCUUUUUCUAGAUCAAUUACCAACCUCACUGGGUCAAGUCCCAUAACUCUGACAUGUAUUUUGGGCAAAUAAUGCCCCCUUGUGGACUUAGAAUAUUCUGGUUAAAGUUUUGCAUGCAAGUUACUAUUUGCAGAAAAAAUGCAGAUACUAAAUUGAAACUUCACAUUUGCCUUCGGGGUUAUAAAACUAGUUGAUUGCAUCAAGUCCGAUAACUCUGACCUGCAUUUUGGUCAAAUUGUGUCCCCUUUUGAGCUUAAAUCAUUUGGUUAAAGUUUUGCAUGCAAGUUACUAUCUCCAAAACUAAUGCAGAUACUAGAUUGAAGCUCUAUAGAUAUUUUAACAUUUAGGGUAAUAUUUUCCUGCUUUUGGGACAAUAAUUCGAAUAGUCCAGCAUUGGCUGUCUUACGGACAGCUCUUGUUCAUUAACUUGUCACCUUGUUGAUUUUAGCAGUGAACACCUAUAACGUUUUAAAACAGGUAUAAUGUUUUUUCGUCCUCAGAACCUGGCCUCUGUAUCCAGCAAAGACCAAUUAAAAUAUUUAAUGGUCACAUUAAAUUGCAACUGUAAAACCUGAAAGAUAUUUUGUGGAAGUAAUGUUCUUUAUUUUGAAAAGGUAAUUUCAGACCAAAACUGCUUUAUUGUGUCACAGUGGCAUCACUUCAGAUGUACAUUUUGUACUUGGCUGUAGUAUAUUCUUGGGCAUAUUGAUGUUUUUUGCAAAAGAAAAUGUUGUUUUUUUUGUAACCUUACAUGGUCUUUGCACAACAUAUACAUUUCCUAUAUAGGUACACAUCAGAUUAUGAUCUUUCUGACAUUCUGAGAAUGAAGGCUUUUAUGUUUAAUUUUGUUUUUUUCUACACCUUAAGCAAAAAAAUAUUAAAAUGAUCACAGUCAAUUCAGCUGUUCUUUAUCUUUUAUAUCUUGCCAUUUAUAUUUGGUUAAUUAUUUGCAAUCAUAUCAAAGAACAGAGUUCUAAAAAAGAUUUGUUGUGAAGAUUGGCUAGGUUCUGAGUUGAAUUGAAAAAUUGUAUCCAUUUGAAUGUGUUACUGGUGUGCAAAGGAAAUCAGAUUAGAAGGAAAUGUGGCUAAAUUUGCAGGUAACCUGGUUGUCUAGUAUUUUACAUAAGCUUGACAAUCUGGUUUGAUAUUUGUUACGGUUGUAAUCUUGUUGAUAAAGAGAUAUUUAGAAAUUUUACAUCUUCUUUCAGUUAAUGUUUUACCAUUAUGUGAAAAUUUUGCAUGUUUUGCAGAAAAUAAAAUAUGAAACAAUAAA